rnacentral:rRNA from 1 species
AACGAACGCUGGCGGCGUGGAUAAGACAUGCAAGUCGAACGAGAAAUAUUUAAGCUUGCUUUGAUAUUUCUAGUGGCGGACGGGUGAGUAACACGUGAGUUACCUGCCCCAAAGUUGAGGAUAGCCCGAGGAAACUCGGAUUAAUACUGAAUGUGAUCGUAAGAUUAAAGAGGCUUCGGCCUUGCUUUGGGAUGGGCUCGCGGCCUAUCAGCUUGUUGGUGAGGUAAGAGCUCACCAAGGCGAUGACGGGUAGCUGGUCUGAGAGGACGACCAGUCACACUGGAACUGAGACACGGUCCAGACACCUACGGGUGGCAGCAGUCGAGAAUCAUUCACAAUGGGGGCAACCCUGAUGGUGCGACGCCGCGUGGAGGACGAAGGCUCUAGGGUCGUAAACUCCUGUCAUCAAGGAGUAAGGGCUUCACCAGGUAAUGGGUGGGGCAUUGAUAGUACUUGAAGAGGAAGGGACGGCUAACUUCG